UUGUUCUCUAAAUAAGGACUUGUAUGAAUGGCCACACGAGGGCUUUACUGUCUCUUACUUCCAAUCCGUGAAAUUGACCUUCCCGUGAAGAGGCGGGAAUAUAACAAUAAGACGAGAAGACCCUAUGGAGCUUUAAUUAACCGACCCAAAGAGACCCCAUAUCCAACCGACAGGAACAACAAACCUCUAAUGGGUCGACAAUUUAGGUUGGGGUGACCUCGGAGAAUAAAAUAACCUCCGAGUGAUUUAAAUCAAGACUAACCAGUCAAAAGUAUUACAUCACUUAUUGAUCCAAAAACUUGAUCAACGGAACAAGUUACCCUAGGGAUAACAGCGCAAUCCUAUUUCAGAGUCCAUAUCGACAAUAGGGUUUACGAC
rnacentral:rRNA from 1 species